GACGAACGCUGGCGGCGUGCUUAACACAUGCAAGUCGAACGGAAAGGCCCUGCUUUUGUGGGGUGCUCGAGUGGCGAACGGGUGAGUAACACGUGAGUAACCUGCCCUUGACUUUGGGAUAACUUCAGGAAACUGGGGCUAAUACCGGAUAGGAGCUCCUGCUGCAUGGUGGGGGUUGGAAAGUUUCGGCGGUUGGGGAUGGACUCGCGGCUUAUCAGCUUGUUGGUGGGGUAGUGGCUUACCAAGGCUUUGACGGGUAGCCGGCCUGAGAGGGUGACCGGCAACAUUGGGACUGAGAUACGGCCCAGACUACUACGGGAGGCAGCAGUGGGGAAUAUUGCACAAUGGGCGGAAGCCUGAUGCAGCAACGCCGCGUGCGGGAUGACGGCAUUCGGGUUGUAAACCGCUUUCGCCUGUGACGAAGCGUGAGUGACGGUAAUGGGUAAAGAAGCACCGGCUAACUACGUG
rnacentral:rRNA from 1 species